UACGUAGGGAGCAAGCGUUGUCCGGAUUCACUGGGUGUAAAGGGUGCGUAGGCGGCCAACUAAGUCAGACGUGAAAUCCCUCGGCUUAACCGGGGAACUGCAUCUGAUACUGGAUGGCUUGAGUUCGGGAGAGGGAUGCGGAAUUCCAGGUGUAGCGGUGAAAUGCGUAGAUAUCUGGAGGAACACCGGUGGCGAAGGCGGCGUCCUGGACCGACACUGACGCUGAGGAGCGAAAGCCAGGGGAGCAAACGGG
rnacentral:rRNA from 1 species